UCUGCCAACAAAUCUGUUUAGUCUGCUGCUAGCUAAUGUUCCUCACAACAAAUGCCACAAUAAAACUUCACCUCAAACACAAAGUGCAGGUUAGUUGCUGCUGCUUGUUCGCAGAUCACAUGCGGCUGCAGGGCAACGUGCCGCCAUCUUAUUUUAUCGGCCGGUCCGCUCCGAGCCUCGCUUUUUGUUCCCAGGAGCGUCGACGGCUUCAGUUCAGACGCCGCAUUCCCACCUGGAAGACAUCCUGCAAACAUGCUGCCUUAACUACAUUUGAGCAGGACUGAGACAUAAUCUGAUUUCUGGGUAAACAGCGCAACAUGGGGAACUGAAACAAAGAGGUUGCAAAAGCAUUUUUCAGCUGAAGGGAAGUCUGCGGUCUGCCCGCCUGUGGAGAAACGAAGGAGAUGUUUCCCCCCAUAAAAACACCACGUGAACAAAUGCUCAGAGGGCCAAGCUGCCAUUAAUCCUGCUGCGGCUGCCAAGGGCCCAAACGGUGGAGCGCAGUCAUGUUAACAAGUCGCUGCGUCCAGCGAUAACUGAGGGCUUGUUUUCUUUAAACAAAGGGAGCGUGCAGGUGUUUGUGGGAUUAGAUCAUUUCACCAAUUUUACAUCCAAAACCAAGGAGUAAAGCGCCCUGUUUUGGGUUGCCGAAUGUCAACAAGCCGACAUGUUAAUGCUGGUCAGAUUGAGCCACAGCUUCGGUCUCUGCUUGCGUCACUUCAGUUCUGUCCAGGACUUUUCUACCUCCUGCAGUUUAACUCAGCAAGUUAACAAAAGUAGCUACAAACUUGUACAUCUUUAAGGCUAUAAGGAUUUAAUAAAAAUAAUAAACUGGUUUUGUACAAAAGUCUGGAGUCAUCGCUCAUGGCUUUAUAAGGUGCAAAAAUGCCUGAUAGAGGAUUUAUUUUAUUCAAAAGAGAAAAAAAAAAAAAACAGACAAAAAAGUUCAUUUUGUUCUUGACAUUGACUCACUGUGGUUCAAUGGUGUGUCAGAAUAUUAGAAAUGUCCCUGUAGCCCUUUUAGACCAAAAGAUGUGAACAGAUGUUAAUCUGUCCUUUAAUUUUUUUAGAUCAGGGGAUAACUGGUAAAAUUUUGAGA